rnacentral:rRNA from 1 species
UACGAAGGGGGCUAGCGUUGUUCGGAUUUACUGGGCGUAAAGCGCACGUAGGCGGUUUGUUAAGUCAGGGGGUGAAAUCCCGGGGCUCAACCCCGGAAUUGCCUUUGAGACUGCAUCGCUAGAAUUGUGGAGAGGUAAGUGGAAUUCCGAGUGUAGAGGUGAAAUUCGUAGAUAUUCGGAAGAACACCAGUGGCGAAGGCGACUUACUGGACACAUAUUGACGCUGAGGUGCGAAAGCGUGGGGAGCAAACAGG